GGGUUGUGAGGUUAAGCGACUAAGCGUACACGGUGGAUGCCCUGGCAGUCAGAGGCGAUGAAGGACGUGCUAAUCUGCGAUAAGCGUCGGUAAGGUGAUAUGAACCGUUAUAACCGGCGAUUUCCGAAUGGGGAAACCCAGUGUGUUUCGACACACUAUCAUUAACUGAAUCCAUAGGUUAAUGAGGCGAACCGGGGGAACUGAAACAUCUAAGUACCCCGAGGAAAAGAAAUCAACCGAGAUUCCCCCAGUAGCGGCGAGCGAACGGGGAGGAGCCCAGAGCCUGAAUCAGUGUGUGUGUUAGUGGAAGCGUCUGGAAAGGCGCGCGAUACAGGGUGACAGCCCCGUACACAAAAAUGCACAUACUGUGAGCUCGAUGAGUAGGGCGGGACACGUGGUAUCCUGUCUGAAUAUGGGGGGACCAUCCUCCAAGGCUAAAUACUCCUGACUGACCGAUAGUGAACCAGUACCGUGAGGGAAAGGCGAAAAGAACCCCGGCGAGGGGAGUGAAAAAGAACCUGAAACCGUGUACGUACAAGCAGUGGGAGCCUCUUUUAUGGGGUGACUGCGUACCUUUUGUAUAAUGGGUCAGCGACUUAUAUUCUGUAGCAAGGUUAACCGAAUAGGGGAGCCGAAGGGAAACCGAGUCUUAACUGGGCGUUAAGUUGCAGGGUAUAGACCCGAAACCCGGUGAUCUAGCCAUGGGCAGGUUGAAGGUUGGGUAACACUAACUGGAGGACCGAACCGACUAAUGUUGAAAAAUUAGCGGAUGACUUGUGGCUGGGGGUGAAAGGCCAAUCAAACCGGGAGAUAGCUGGUUCUCCCCGAAAGCUAUUUAGGUAGCGCCUCGUGAAUUCAUCUCCGGGGGUAGAGCACUGUUUCGGCAAGGGGGUCAUCCCGACUUACCAACCCGAUGCAAACUGCGAAUACCGGAGAAUGUUAUCACGGGAGACACACGGCGGGUGCUAACGUCCGUCGUGAAGAGGGAAACAACCCAGACCGCCAGCUAAGGUCCCAAAGUCAUGGUUAAGUGGGAAACGAUGUGGGAAGGCCCAGACAGCCAGGAUGUUGGCUUAGAAGCAGCCAUCAUUUAAAGAAAGCGUAAUAGCUCACUGGUCGAGUCGGCCUGCGCGGAAGAUGUAACGGGGCUAAACCAUGCACCGAAGCUGCGGCAGCGACGCUUAUGCGUUGUUGGGUAGGGGAGCGUUCUGUAAGCCUGUGAAGGUGUACUGUGAGGUAUGCUGGAGGUAUCAGAAGUGCGAAUGCUGACAUAAGUAACGAUAAAGCGGGUGAAAAGCCCGCUCGCCGGAAGACCAAGGGUUCCUGUCCAACGUUAAUCGGGGCAGGGUGAGUCGACCCCUAAGGCGAGGCCGAAAGGCGUAGUCGAUGGGAAACAGGUUAAUAUUCCUGUACUUGGUGUUACUGCGAAGGGGGACGGAGAAGGCUAUGUUGGUAGGGCGACGGUUGUCCCGGUUUAAGCGUGUAGGCUGGUUUUCCAGGCAAAUCCGGAAAAUCAAGGCUGAGGCGUGAUGACGAGGCACUACGGUGCUGAAGCAACAAAUGCCCUGCUUCCAGGAAAAGCCUCUAAGCAUCAGGUAACAUCAAAUCGUACCCCAAACCGACACAGGUGGUCAGGUAGAGAAUACCAAGGCGCUUGAGAGAACUCGGGUGAAGGAACUAGGCAAAAUGGUGCCGUAACUUCGGGAGAAGGCACGCUGAUAUGUAGGUGAAGCGACUUGCUCGUGGAGCUGAAAUCAGUCGAAGAUACCAGCUGGCUGCAACUGUUUAUUAAAAACACAGCACUGUGCAAACACGAAAGUGGACGUAUACGGUGUGACGCCUGCCCGGUGCCGGAAGGUUAAUUGAUGGGGUUAGCGGUAACGCGAAGCUCUUGAUCGAAGCCCCGGUAAACGGCGGCCGUAACUAUAACGGUCCUAAGGUAGCGAAAUUCCUUGUCGGGUAAGUUCCGACCUGCACGAAUGGCGUAAUGAUGGCCAGGCUGUCUCCACCCGAGACUCAGUGAAAUUGAACUCGCUGUGAAGAUGCAGUGUACCCGCGGCAAGACGGAAAGACCCCGUGAACCUUUACUAUAGCUUGACACUGAACAUUGAGCCUUGAUGUGUAGGAUAGGUGGGAGGCUUUGAAGUGUGGACGCCAGUCUGCAUGGAGCCGGCCUUGAAAUACCACCCUUUAAUGUUUGAUGUUCUAACGUUGGCCCCUGAUCGGGGUUGCGGACAGUGUCUGGUGGGUAGUUUGACUGGGGCGGUCUCCUCCUAAAGAGUAACGGAGGAGCACGAAGGUUGGCUAAUCCUGGUCGGACAUCAGGAGGUUAGUGCAAUGGCAUAAGCCAGCUUGACUGCGAGCGUGACGGCGCGAGCAGGUGCGAAAGCAGGUCAUAGUGAUCCGGUGGUUCUGAAUGGAAGGGCCAUCGCUCAACGGAUAAAAGGUACUCCGGGGAUAACAGGCUGAUACCGCCCAAGAGUUCAUAUCGACGGCGGUGUUUGGCACCUCGAUGUCGGCUCAUCACAUCCUCGGGGCUGAAGUAGGUCCCAAGGGUAUGGCUGUUCGCCAUUUAAAGUGGUACGCGAGCUGGGUUUAGAACGUCGUGAGACAGUUCGGUCCCUAUCUGCCGUGGGCGCUGGAGAACUGAGGGGGGCUGCUCCUAGUACGAGAGGACCGGAGUGGACGCAUCACUGGUGUUCGGGUUGUCAUGCCAAUGGCACUGCCCGGUAGCUAAAUGCGGAAGAGAUAAGUGCUGAAAGCAUCUAAGCACGAAACUUGCCCCGAGAUGAGUUCUCCCUGAGACUUUAAGUCUCCUGAAGGAACGUUGAAGACGACGACGUUGAUAGGCCGGGUGUGUAAGCGCAGCGAUGCGUUGAGCUAACCGGUACUAAUGAACCGUGAGGCUUAACCUUACAACGCCGAAGGUGUUU
rnacentral:rRNA from 1 species